rnacentral:rRNA from 1 species
UACGUAGGGUGCAAGCGUUAAUCGGAAUUACUGGGCGUAAAGCGUGCGCAGGCGGUGAUGUAAGACAGGUGUGAAAUCCCCGGGCUUAACCUGGGAACUGCAUUGGUGACUGGCAGGCUUUGAGUGUGGCAGAGGGAGGUAGAAUUCCACGUGUAGCAGUGAAAUGCGUAGAGAUGUGGAGGAAUACCGAUGGCGAAGGCAGCCUCCUGGGCCAACACUGACGCUCAUGCACGAAAGCGUGGGGAGCAAACAGG